rnacentral:lncRNA from 1 species
CCCAAGUUUGUUCUUAUUUUCAAAAAAAAGUUUCAGUUUAGUAUGAAGUGUGUCUUUUCUUCAAUGUCGUUUUAAUUUAAAACAUUCACACAGUAAGAAAUAGUAAACUAAAUUUAGGUCCUGGUAUUUUAUUAUUAUUGUGCUAUUCUAAUGUAAUGAUGCUGCAUUUUAUUGUUAAAAGUUAUGCAUUAGGACUUUCAUUUAUUGAACUGACUGCUUCUAAAAUUUACUAAAAUUCAAGACAAUAUUUAGCUAUUUAAAUACAAUUUAUUUUUAUCUCAAUUUCGUUUUUUAUCUUUAAUGUUUAUAGUUUGGAUCCUUGAAGCAGUUUAUAUUUUGUUUUUUAAGUAAUAAUAUUUUAAAUCCAAUGUGGUGUCUUUUUAAGUUAACUAAAGUUUAGUAAAAGCCAACAUGAAAUAACAACAUUAAACAACACUGACAAGAACUGCUGCAUCACGACAGCAACUGCAGUAUCACAACAGGUUACCAAAAGCAGGUUUGUCAUAUAACGCAUUGAUGCAAUAUGAAAGAUCAAAGUUUACAUAUUUUUCCUUAUUUGUGAUAGCAUGUUUGAUUGUAAAUUAAAAAUUUUUGUUUAAAA